CAUGGAGAUGCAAGAUGUGUAUUGCGUUAUGCAUGUUUAUGGUUUACACAAAGCGUAUAAGGAAAGUUAAGCAGUUGUACAAAGCCGAAGGGUUCUCCGACUUACGAUGGAUAAAUUGAGGGUCGUAAAAGCUUGGGUGCGAGCAAGUAGGAGGAGAAUUUCAAUCGAAGUACAGAUUUUUCUUGAAAUCGAGGAUAAUGAUGUUAUUACCAGCUGAUUAAGGAGGAGUAGUGUAAGUGUCAGAUGGGUACGAACGUCAUCUUGUGACAGCAUCACCUUUGUUUGGCUAAAGUACAAGAGAACUGCAGCAUGUAAGACUACAUGUACAUCGACUUUGAAUAAUCUACCUGGUAUAUCCUCAAAAAGGCAACUCAA